rnacentral:rRNA from 1 species
CCUACGGGAGGCAGCAGUGAGGAAUAUUGGUCAAUGGACGGAAGUCUGAACCAGCCAUGCCGCGUGCAGGAAGACGGCUCUAUGAGUUGUAAACUGCUUUUGUACAAGGGUAAACCUGAAUACGUGUAUUUUUCUGAAAGUAUUGUACGAAUAAGGAUCGGCUCACUCCGUGCCAGCAGCCGCGGUAAUACGGAGGAUCCAAGCGUUAUCCGGAUUUAUUGGGUUUAAAGGGUGCGUAGGCGGAUUGAUAAGUUAGAGGUGAAAUGCCCGGGCUUAACUCGGGAAUUGCCUCUGAUACUGUUGGGCUAGAGAGUAGAUGCGGUAGGCGGAAUGUAUGGUGUAGCGGUGAAAUGCUUAGAGAUCAGACAGAACACCGAGUGCGAAGGCAGCUUACCAAGCUAUAUCUGACGUUGAGGCACGAAAGCGUGGGGAGCAAACAGGAUUAGAUACCCGGGUAGUC